AAGCUGGCAGGUAUGCUGCAGGAGAACCAUAGGUCACUGGUUGCGACUAAUGAGCAUUUGCUGAGUGAAUUGGAGAGGACUGGGAGACGGCUCUGAGGAGCAACACGUCACAACUACAACAACUAGAGAACUGGAGGAGACUAGGAGACGGCUCUGAGGAGCUACACAUCACAACUAGAGAACUGGAGGAGACUAGGAGACGGCUCUGAGGAGCUACACAUCACAACUAGAGAACUGGAGGAGACUAGGAGACGGCUCUGAGGAGCUACACAUCACAACUACAACAACUAGAGAACUGGAGGAGACUAGGAGACGGCUCUGAGGAGCUACACAUCACAACUAGAGAACUGGAGGAGACUAGGAGACAGCUCUGAGGAGCUACACGUCACAACUAGAGAACUGGAGGAGACUAGGAGACGGCUCUGAGGAGCAACACGUCACAAGUAAAGAACUGGAGGAGACUAGGAGACGGCUCUGAGGAGCUACACAUCACAACUAGAGAACUGGAGGAGACUAGGAGACGGCUCUGAGGAGCAACACGUCACAACUAGAGAACUGGAGGAGACUAGGAGACGGCUCUGAGGAGCUACACAUCACAACUACAACAACUAGCAGGCCCACAACUACAACACCAGGGCCACAUUCCGUAGGUAAACGUUAUGGAACAUUGCAAAUAGAAAUGUCAUGAAUAGAGCCAAUUUCUUACUCUACAUGAUGUCAGAGAGGAAUGUUUGUUCUACAUUUCUAUCUGAACGUUCCAGAACGUUGUCCUGCUGAACGAGCACCAGCAGCAGAUUCUCUUAUUUUAGCUCUAUAUACACUGCUGCCAACAUUUACACUGUUCUUCUGAUGCUCCGGGAUUAAUGUUGAGCAUGAAAACUUGUCUCUAACUCUGAUCUCAUUUUUUACUUCUGUGUAUCGUUAUGGUUUUACUGUGUCCACUAUCCACACCUUUACACUGUUCCUUACUGACUGUAUCCACACCUUUACACUGUUCCUUACUGACUCUAUCCACA